rnacentral:rRNA from 1 species
CCAUCAUGAGAGCUGAUGCAGCGACGCCGCGUGAGGGAUGACGGCCUUCGGGUUGUAAACCUCUUUCAGCAGGGAAGAAGCGAGAGUGACGGUACCUGCAGAAGAAGCGCCGGCUAACUACGUGCCAGCAGCCGCGGUAAUAAGGCCUCGCCCGGGGAAU